CGGUUCGUGGAUCACGGUGUUCAGGACGAUGUCGUCGGUCAUGGGAGCAGGCUAAGUUCGGUUCCGGACGUUCUACGUCCGGAACCGC
rnacentral:tRNA from 1 species